rnacentral:rRNA from 1 species
CGUAGGGUGCGAGCGUUAAUCGGAAUUACUGGGCGUAAAGCGUGCGCAGGCGGUUUUGUAAGACAGAUGUGAAAUCCCCGGGCUCAACCUGGGACCUGCAUUUGUGACUGCAAGGCUAGAGUACGGUAGAGGGGGAUGGAAUUCCGCGUGUAGCAGUGAAAUGCGUAGAUAUGCGGAGGAACACCGAUGGCGAAGGCAAUCCCCUGGACCUGUACUGACGCUCAUGCACGAAAGCGUGGGGAGCAAACAGGAUUAGAUACCCUGGUAGUCCACGCCCUAAACGAUGUCAACUGGUUGUUGGGUCUUUACUGACUCAGUAACGAGCUAACGCGUGAAGUUGACCGCCUGGGGAGUACGGGCCGCAAGGUUG